AGCAUGGUCUUAGCUUGCUAAGGCCGAUGGCGACCGGCGCACGGGUGAGUAACACGUAUCCAACCUGCCGUCUACUCUUGGACAGCCUUCUGAAAGGAAGAUUAAUACAAGAUGGCAUCAUGAGUCCGCAUGUUCACAUGAUUAAAGGUAUUCCGGUAGACGAUGGGGAUGCGUUCCAUUAGAUAGUAGGCGGGGUAACGGCCCACCUAGUCUUCGAUGGAUAGGGGUUCUGAGAGGAAGGUCCCCCACAUUGGAACUGAGACACGGUCCAAACUCCUACGGGAGGCAGCAGUGAGGAAUAUUGGUCAAUGGGCGAGAGCCUGAACCAGCCAAGUAGCGUGAAGGAUGACUGCCCUAUGGGUUGUAAACUUCUUUUAUAAAGGAAUAAAGUCGGGUAUGGAUACCCGUUUGCAUGUACUUUAUGAAUAAGGAUCGGCUAACUCCGUGCCAGCAGCCGCGGUAAUACGGAGGAUCCGAGCGUUAUCCGGAUUUAUUGGGUUUAAAGGGAGCGUAGAUGGAUGUUUAAGUCAGUUGUGAAAGUUUGCGGCUCAACCGUAAAAUUGCAGUUGAUACUGGAUAUCUUGAGUGCAGUUGAGGCAGGCGGAAUUCGUGGUGUAGCGGUGAAAUGCUUAGAUAUCACGAAGAACUCCGAUUGCGAAGGCAGCCUGCUAAGCUGCAACUGACAUUGA
rnacentral:rRNA from 1 species